GCAUAACCCAAUGUGCAUGCUGAGGAGGCCUCACGCCAGUUUAGGCUCUCCAGUAUCUCCCACUGAGCUACUCUGUCCCCGACUUAGAGGACCAGGAGAAGGGGGAGCUGGAGGCUGGAGCCUGCCACACCGUGGCUCGUCUCACUCUGGAUGGUGGUGGCAACAGAGAUGGCAGUGUGGCUGGAGUUUUAGGAGGGCGGCCUGAGCCGUAGGAGGGGGCUGGAGCAGUAACAUGGCGGCCUGAGCGGUUGAGCCCUGGGCACUGUGGUGUCUCCAGUCCCCACCCCAGGUCAGGAGGCCAGCUUGGUCUAGGAGGAGAGGCUGGACUUUGGAGGGUUUUUCUGGCAUUGUCUGCCCAGCUGCUCCAAGCCAGGCUGAUGAAGGAGGAGUCCCCUGUGGUGAGCUGGAGGUUGUAGCCUGAAGAUGGCACAGCUCUGUGAUUCAUCUCCUGCGGUUGUGGCGGCCACGGUGAUGGAGACUGCAGCUCAACAGGAGUGUCCUGUGGCUGCUGCAACAAAUUACCACACACUUAGUGACUUAAAACAACCAAAAUGUAUUCCCUUACAAGUCUGAAGGCCAGAAUUCUACAGUAAGUCCUUCUGAGUCAAGGUGGGAGCAGGGUUGGUGGCUUCUGAGGCUCUGCGGGAGAAUCUGUUUCCUGGCCGUAGAGGUGGCCUGCACUCCUCAGCUUGUGCUGCCCGUCUUGAAUGACUGGAGUUUCCUGCUUCUGUCACUACACCUCCCACCCUCUCCAUCACCUGCUCUGCUCUUACAAGGAUCCGAAGAAAUGGAAUCAUCGUAUCGCUGAUCUAUGUAAACAAACUGAAGAAUUGUCUGAAAGAAAAUAUGACAUGAACUUAUGAAUUCAACAGGUGAAGAUUUACAACUUGAUAAAUCAACUGUCAGCUCGAGCUGUAAAAGCCAAAGGUCCGGUGAUGAUCCCAUACCCUUUUUUCCAGUCUCAUGUUGAAGAUUUUUAUGUAGAAGGCCUUCCCAAAGGAAUUUUUUUUUUUUUUUUUUUUGAGAUGGAGUUUUCACUCUUAUCGCCCAGGCUGGGGUGCAAUGGCG
rnacentral:lncRNA from 1 species